rnacentral:piRNA from 1 species
GUGUGCUCACACGUGACCUUGG